AAGUCGUAACAAGGUUUCCGUAGGUGAACCUGCGGAAGGAUCAACAUUGGAACAGUUACAAUCGAGCGGUAGCUCUAUAGGCAAUGUUUCCCCAAGCAGUCAGUGUCGGAAAGUGUCAUUGAUUGUGCAAGAAUAGCGCUUCUACGAUUCCUGUAGACCGUACACUCGGGCAGGAGCUUGGCCAAAGGGUCCCCAUGCCCCCUAAUAACCCUACAGUUUAAUGUGAAGCUCAAUGUAAUACAUUGGGUAAAAAAACCGAACAACUGUUAACAAUGGAUAUCUUGGUUCUC
rnacentral:misc_RNA from 1 species